rnacentral:lncRNA from 1 species
ACCCCCCCCCCCCCCCCCCCCCCAUUAGAUUAAAACAAAUUAAAUGGCAGCAGUAGGACAGCCUUGCCUGGGAUAGGGAUUUUUGGAGAAGCAGGGCUUUCUCUCUCCUCCUAAUGGGAAGCUGGCUGCGUUACCUUGCUCAGUGGAGCUUGGAUCGUCUGUAACAGGUGCCCUACGUGUUAGUCCACAGCACUGAAAAUCCCACUGCCACUUCCCAGGCGCAGGAACCCAACUGCAAAUCAAGGUGAAGAAACACGCUUUCUGCCCAGCCACUUCCAUUACAGCUAAUGCACACCAUGCUGGGAAUUGACUGAAAACAGCACCAUGUACAGAAAAGCUCCUCUUUAACCAGCACAUGAUACCAUGUUAAGGAGCCAAAAGCCACCAGUGCUCUUCCGAUUUCACUCCCACAAAACACACAGACAACUGGAAGCGGUGCCAAUGGCAGCCAAGGACACGGGGGGUUUGCUGCCAAGAGGUAGCCUUAUUUUGGGACUUCUCUCAGUCAUCCCACUCCACCAACCCAAUGCUUCAUCAAGACCAUCCACGGCACAGAAGGAAGAUGGAGGAUGGGAAUCCAGUGCUUUAGUGUGCUCAGCUGUAUUCCCUUGGAGGUUACCAAAGGUUUUGUGGUAAUUAUAUUACACUGCUUAGCUUUUCACCUCUGCUUGUAGGGUUUCAUUUGGACUGGGAGGCCAUGCAACUUAGUGUGGGAGUGUGGCCAUGGGGGUCGAAAAGCCCCAUGGUUGGUGAUAACAUCAGACUCUUAAGGAUGAGGCCAUCAGGAAUGUAAAGAGUUGAGAGGGAACAAAGAAGGGUGAUUCAGGAGACGCCUUGUUGUCUCGGGUUGCUUGUUCUCCAGCCCUUAAGGCAUGGAAGUUGCUGGGUGUUUGCUGUUGCCGGGCAAAGUUGUUGACCAAUGAAUAGUUAGUGGAAAGGUACUGCUGUGGGGCGAAUGGUACAAGAAGGGAGCCUGUCCUCAAUAAGGAAGAUGAAGUUAUGCCCUCGAUAAGAGAGAGUUGAAGUUAUGUCAUCAAUAAAGUAGUAGCAAUUACUGACCCUAAAAGAACC